rnacentral:rRNA from 1 species
CAGCAGCCGCGGGAAUACAGAGGGUGCAAGCGUUAAUCGGAAUUACUGGGCGUAAAGCGCGCGUAGGUGGUUUGUUAAGUUGGAUGUGAAAGCCCCGGGCUCAACCUGGGAACUGCAUCCAAAACUGGCAAGCUAGAGUACGGUAGAGGGUGGUGGAAUUUCCUGUGUAGCGGUGAAAUGCGUAGAUAUAGGAAGGAACACCAGUGGCGAAGGCGACCACCUGGACUGAUACUGACACUGAGGUGCGAAAGCGUGGGGAGCAAACAGGAUUAGAUACCCGAGUAGUCCAUGUCUCUUAUAC